rnacentral:rRNA from 1 species
AUACGUAGGGGGCGAGCGUUGUGCGGAAUGAUUGGGCGAAAAGGGCGCGUAGGCGGCCCGGUAAGUCUGGAGUGAAAGUCCUGUUUUUAAGAUGGGAAUUGCUUUGGAUACUGUCGGGCUUGACUGCAGGAGAGGUAAGUGGAAUUCCCAGUGGAGCGGAGAAGGGCGUAGAGAUUGGGAGGAACACCAGUGGCGAAGGCGACUUACUGGAGUGUAACUGACGCUGAGGCGCGAAAGUGUGGGGAGCAAACAGGAUUAGAUACCCUGUUAGUCCACACUGUAAACGAUGAAUGCUAGGUGUAGGGGGUAUCGACCCCUUCUGUGCCGCAGUCAACACAAUAAGCAUUCCGCCUGGGGAGUACGGCCGCAAGGUUGAAACUUAAAGGAAUUGACGGGG